CAUUACCGAGUUUACAACUCCCAAACCCCUGUGAACAUACCAAUUGUUGCCUCGGCGGAUCAGCCCGCUCCCGGUAAAACGGGACGGCCCGCCAGAGGACCCCUAAACUCUGUUUCUAUAUGUAACUUGUGAGUAAAACCAUAUAUAAAUCAAAACUUUCAACAACGGAUCUCUUGGUUCUGGCAUCGAUGAAGAACGCAGCAAAAUGCGAUAAGUAAUGUGAAUUGCAGAAUUCAGUGAAUCAUCGAAUCUUUGAACGCACAUUGCGCCCGCCAGUAUUCUGGCGGGCAUGCCUGUUCGAGCGUCAUUUCAACCCUCAAGCCCAGCUGGGUGUUGGGACUCCUGAGGUAAACCGCGUUCCACAAAUUGAUUGGCGGUCACGUGGAGGUUCCAUCGCCUAGUAGUAAAACCCUCGUUACUUGUAAUGGGUGCGGCCACGCCGUCGAUACCCCCCCUAAUUUCUGAAAUGUUGACCUCGGAUCAGGUAGGA
rnacentral:rRNA from 1 species